rnacentral:rRNA from 1 species
UGGGGAAUAUUGCACAAUGGGCGCAAGCCUGAUGCAGCCAUGCCGCGUGUGUGAAGAAGGCCUUCGGGUUGUAAAGCACUUUCAGCGGGGAGGAAGGCGAUAAGGUUAAUAACCUUGUCGAUUGACGUUACCCGCAGAAGAAGCACCGGCUAACUCCGUGCCAGCAGCCGCGGUAAUACGGAGGGUGCAAGCGUUAAUCGGAAUUACUGGGCGUAAAGCGCACGCAGGCGGUCUGUCAAGUCGGAUGUGAAAUCCCCGGGCUUAACCUGGGAACUGCAUUCGAAACUGGCAGGCUAGAGUCUUGUAGAGGGGGGUAGAAUUCCAGGUGUAGCGGUGAAAUGCGUAGAGAUCUGGGGGAAUACCGGUGGCGAAGGCGGCCCCCUGGACAAAGACUGACGCUCAGGUGCGAAAGCGUGGGGAGCAAACAGG